rnacentral:rRNA from 1 species
UGCAGUCGAACGGCAGCACGGGAGCAAUCCUGGUGGCGAGUGGCGAACGGGUGAGUAAUAUAUCGGAACGUGCCCAGUCGUGGGGGAUAACGCAGCGAAAGCUGUGCUAAUACCGCAUACGAUCUCUGGAUGAAAGCGGGGGACUCGUAAGAGCCUCGCGCGAUUGGAGCGGCCGAUAUCAGAUUAGCUAGUUGGUGGGGUAAAGGCCCACCAAGGCGACGAUCUGUAGCUGGUCUGAGAGGACGACCAGCCACACUGGAACUGAGACACGGUCCAGACUCCUACGGGAGGCAGCAGUGGGGAAUUUUGGACAAUGGGCGCAAGCCUGAUCCAGCAAUGCCGCGUGCAGGAUGAAGGCCUUCGGGUUGUAAACUGCUUUUGUACGGAACGAAAAGGUUUGCCUUAAUACGGUGGGCCCAUGACGGUACCGUAAGAAUAAGCACCGGCUAACUACGUGCCAGCAGCCGCGGUAAUACGUAGGGUGCGAGCGUUAAUCGGAAUUACUGGGCGUAAAGCGUGCGCAGGCGGUUAUAUAAGACAGAUGUGAAAUCCCCGGGCUCAACCUGGGACCUGCAUUUGUGACUGUAUAGCUAGAGUACGGUAGAGGGGGAUGGAAUUCCGCGUGUAGCAGUGAAAUGCGUAGAUAUGCGGAGGAACACCGAUGGCGAAGGCAAUCCCCUGGACCUGUACUGACGCUCAUGCACG